GACGAACGCUGGCGGCGUGCUUAACACAUGCAAGUCGAACGGUAAGGCCCUUCGGGGUACACGAGUGGCGAACGGGUGAGUAACACGUGGGUGAUCUGCCCUGCACUUCGGGAUAAGCCUGGGAAACUGGGUCUAAUACCGGAUAGGACCACUGCCUGCAUGGGUGGUGGUGGAAAGCUUUUGCGGUGUGGGAUGGGCCCGCGGCCUAUCAGCUUGUUGGUGGGGUGAUGACCUACCAAGGCGACGACGGGUAGCCGGCCUGAGAGGGUGACCGGCCACACUGGGACUGAGAUACGGCCCAGACUCCUACGGGAGGCAGCAGUGGGAAAUAUUGCACAAUGGGCGCAAGCCUGAUGCAGCGACGCCGCGUGGGGGAUGACGGCCUUCGGGUUGUAAACCUCUUUCAGUAGGGACGAAGCGCAAGUGACGGUACCUACAGAAGAAGGACCGGCCAACUACGUGCCAGCCACCGCAGUAA
rnacentral:rRNA from 1 species